rnacentral:rRNA from 1 species
CCUGCCCAGUGAGCACUUUUAACGGCCGCGGUAUUAUAACCGUGCAAAGGUAGCGUAAUCACUUGUCUCCUAAAUAGAGACCCGUAUGAAAGGCUAAAUGAGGACAAAUCUGUCUCCUGUAUCCAAUCAAUGAAACUGAUUUACCAGUACAAAAGCUGGUAUAGACCCAUAAGACGAGAAGACCCUGCGGAGCUUUUAAGCAACACGCUACAUAAACCAAAAUAAACCCUACAAGGCUCCCUACAAACAACAUAGCGUUACACUUUAAGUUGGGGCAACUGCGGAGAAAAACAAAACCUCCAUGAAAACAGGCUAAAACCCACCAAAAAACUUACAAGUAAAUUGGUAUAUGAAUUGACCCAGCACUGCUGAUCAUCGAACCAAGUUACCCCAGGGAUAACAGCGCCAUCCCCCUCAAGAGUCCAUAUCGCCAGGGGGGUUUACGACCUCGAUGUUGGAUCAGGACACCCAGAUGGUGUAGCCGCUAUCAAUGGUUCGUUUGUUCAACGAUUAAUGUCCUACGUGAUCUGA